rnacentral:tmRNA from 1 species
GGGGGCGUCACGGUUUCGACGUGUUUGGUGAAGGUGGAGUAGCGUGUCGAGGUCCCGAACCUCGUAAAUACUCGGGAAACUUUAUAGUUGCCAACACUGAUCUGGCACUGGCCGCGUAACCAAUCCGGCCCGUCUCUUGAGUUGCUCGCCCGAGGCGGCUCCUGAGGCGACGAUAAUUCGGGCUGGCCCCACCGCAGUGCUUCCGGGUGGUGGGGUGAGAACCAAGGAAGCUGGCUCCAGGACGGUUGACCACUGACCCAGCGGAGUGAGAUCCAAUAGCGGUCUACGCACGUAGCGACUCUACCGAAUCCCUUCGCGGACGCGGGUUCGACUCCCGCCGCCUCCACUC